UAUUCGCCCCGAUGAGUUAGUAUUGAAGUUAAGCUGGUAUAGUCCACUCUGAUGCAAACCAUCAACGAACUGGACACUGCGCGCGGAGCGUGCAUGAGGCUCAUAGAAAUCAAAAGCAGCUCCAUUUUCCUCUGACGCCGAUGUCCAGGAUAGCGUAGACUGGUUGAAAUCACCAAUAAGCAUGAACCUGUCUCUCGGACCAAGAGUAGUGCUGAUAUUAGCAACGAAGUCGAUCAAUGCACUUAUUUUCUCCUCAUUCAUGCUUUGGUUAGGAGGCAGGUAGGCAGCGGCAAUAAACAAACGGUGGUCGCAUAACUGAAUACAUACGCAAGUGAGUUCUAACAGUGGCGGCAACGUAGGAAGCACAUAAGAGAGAAGAGAAACGUUGCAUGCAAUUAAAACACCACCCCCACGAGAGUGAGAGCUGUUAUUGGCAUCCCGGUCGCAUCGGUAAACACGAUACUCAUCUCCUAGAAGGAGAGCGGUGGGAAUACAGGGAUCAAGCCAAGUUUCAGUGAGUACCAAUACAUCGUAUUCCGUCUCAAGAACCGACAAACGGAACUCAUCGGCUUUAGAACGCAGGCCACGCACAUUCUGAUAGUACACAGUGAUACAAGCCGCUCGAUCAGUGGGUGCUUGUUGCGUAGUGUUAGUAGGCGCUGUGGUGUUGCAAUUGAGCGAGCUUAUCGUAGAAGGUGAGUGUAUUGUGUUUGUUGUCGAAGGAUUUGCUCGAGCCGUAUGCGCAAAAUAUGGGUGCGCUGCUGUAGUGCGGUUACUUCGGAAAAAAUUGAACCAGUGUAGUUUGAAGUGUUUUUGAACGUGACGUGGACGGAAGAGUGGGUGAAGGGAGAGUGCAGUUCAUAUCGGUUGGUGAUUGUUCGGUUUGUGUUCGUGCGGGUUCAUGGAUAUGUGCAGGUGAGUAUGGAUUAUUGUGGGGAUUAUUGUGUUGGGUACAAGGCUGCUGUGGUGCCGGUGAGUGUUGAGUGCGAGGCUGUUGUGGUGCCGGUGUCUGCUGAGUACGGGGUUGUUGCGGUAUCGGUGUGUAAGUGUUCGUGUGUUGUGUUCGUGAAUGUAGAGAUCGCGGCGGGAGUGAAAUGAACUCACGCACACCGAGCCCGACCGGCCAGGAGGCUGCGUUAAGUGCCUUACUACGAAGGGCAGCAGGGAUUCUGACCUUGAACGAUACAGCACUCAAUGGGCUAGGAACCGUUCCUGCUUUUAGCAGACUAAAAGCAAUUACGUCUGCAGUGUCCAACUGCAAACACACCAAAGAGACAACUUGCUCUAUGGUGACGGACGCAGCCAACCUUGAAAGAUGCAGCCAUAAAUAAUCGGUUCUUGGUGUCUGUGAAACGGUUGGUAUUGAAGCGGAGGUUGUAUUAGUACCUGUGAUUAUUGGUGGUAGUGAAGGACGAUCGAUUCGUGCAUCUGGGAGCAAUUGAUUGCUUUGCUGCAAGGAUGCCGAAUGGGCCGUGGCGAUUCCGGCAAAGCCAUCCCGAAUCUCCUGUAUUACCGGUGGGACCAAGCUAGCCUUCAUGGCAUCAACAGCAGCUGUGAGGGCUGCCUGAAACCCAACCUGCAUACCCAUGCCCUUGACCGCCUUGCUACGCGGAUUCCCGAUGGCGUUAGUACACCCAAUGCAACUCCAGUGCAGGGAAGCCAUCCGUUUCACUUCAUCGAUGACCGAUAUAGGCACCUUAGUGCACACCAGAUGAUGCCGCUGCAGAUGAACGUCGAAGCAGCCACAAAUAAAAGCCAAAUAUAUCGCGAACACGGUGGUUUUCGUCAGGAACACGAUGGCAGGGUCACGAGACUACACUUAUGGACAC